GGGUUGUGAGGUUAAGCGACUAAGCGUACACGGUGGAUGCCCUGGCAGUCAGAGGCGAUGAAGGACGUGCUAAUCUGCGAAAAGCGUCGGUAAGGUGAUAUGAACCGUUACAGCCGGCGAUGUCCGAAUGGGGAAACCCAGUGCAAUUCGUUGCACUAUCGUUAACUGAAUACAUAGGUUAACGAGGCGAACCGGGGGAACUGAAACAUCUAAGUACCCCGAGGAAAAGAAAUCAACCGAGAUUCCCCCAGUAGCGGCGAGCGAACGGGGAGCAGCCCAGAGUCUGAAUCAGCUUGUGUGUUAGUGGAACGGUCUGGAAAGUCCGACGGUACAGGGUGAUAGUCCCGUACACCAAAAUGCACAGGCUGUGAACUCGAAGAGUAGGGCGGGACACGUGGUAUCCUGUCUGAAUAUGGGGGGACCAUCCUCCAAGGCUAAAUACUCCUGACUGACCGAUAGUGAACCAGUACCGUGAGGGAAAGGCGAAAAGAACCCCGGCGAGGGGAGUGAAAAAGAACCUGAAACCGUGUACGUACAAGCAGUGGGAGCACCUUCGGGUGUGACUGCGUACCUUUUGUAUAAUGGGUCAGCGACUUAUAUUCUGUAGCAAGGUUAACCGUAUAGGGGAGCCGCAGGGAAACCGAGUCUUAACUGGGCGUUAAGUUGCAGGGUAUAGACCCGAAACCCGGUGAUCUAGCCAUGGGCAGGUUGAAGGUUGGGUAACACUAACUGGAGGACCGAACCGACUAAUGUUGAAAAAUUAGCGGAUGACUUGUGGCUGGGGGUGAAAGGCCAAUCAAACCGGGAGAUAGCUGGUUCUCCCCGAAAGCUAUUUAGGUAGCGCCUCGUGAAUUCAUCUUCGGGGGUAGAGCACUGUUUCGGCUAGGGGGUCAUCCCGACUUACCAACCCGAUGCAAACUACGAAUACCGAAGAAUGUUAUCACGGGAGACACACGGCGGGUGCUAACGUCCGUCGUGAAGAGGGAAACAACCCAGACCGCCAGCUAAGGUCCCAAAGUCAUGGUUAAGUGGGAAACGAUGUGGGAAGGCACAGACAGCCAGGAUGUUGGCUUAGAAGCAGCCAUCAUUUAAAGAAAGCGUAAUAGCUCACUGGUCGAGUCGGCCUGCGCGGAAGAUGUAACGGGGCUAAACCAUGCACCGAAGCUGCGGCAGCGACACUAUGUGUUGUUGGGUAGGGGAGCGUUCUGUAAGCCUGCGAAGGUGACCUGUGAGGGUUGCUGGAGGUAUCAGAAGUGCGAAUGCUGACAUAAGUAACGAUAAAGCGGGUGAAAAGCCCGCUCGCCGGAAGACCAAGGGUUCCUGUCCAACGUUAAUCGGGGCAGGGUGAGUCGACCCCUAAGGCGAGGCCGAAAGGCGUAGUCGAUGGGAAACAGGUUAAUAUUCCUGUACUUGGUGUUACUGCGAAGGGGGGACGGAGAAGGCUAUGUUAGCCGGGCGACGGUUGUCCCGGUUUAAGCAUGUAGGCUGGUUGUCCAGGCAAAUCCGGAUAAUCAAGGCUGAGGUGUGAUGACGAGGCACUACGGUGCUGAAGUAACAAAUGCCCUGCUUCCAGGAAAAGCCUCUAAGCAUCAGGUAACAUCAAAUCGUACCCCAAACCGACACAGGUGGUCAGGUAGAGAAUACCAAGGCGCUUGAGAGAACUCGGGUGAAGGAACUAGGCAAAAUGGUGCCGUAACUUCGGGAGAAGGCACGCUGGUGUGUAGGUGAAGUCCCUGCGGAUGGAGCUGAGACCAGUCGAAGAUACCAGCUGGCUGCAACUGUUUAUUAAAAACACAGCACUGUGCAAACACGAAAGUGGACGUAUACGGUGUGACGCCUGCCCGGUGCCGGAAGGUUAAUUGAUGGGGUUAUCCGUAAGGAGAAGCUCUUGAUCGAAGCCCCGGUAAACGGCGGCCGUAACUAUAACGGUCCUAAGGUAGCGAAAUUCCUUGUCGGGUAAGUUCCGACCUGCACGAAUGGCGUAAUGAUGGCCAGGCUGUCUCCACCCGAGACUCAGUGAAAUUGAACUCGCUGUGAAGAUGCAGUGUACCCGCGGCAAGACGGAAAGACCCCGUGAACCUUUACUAUAGCUUGACACUGAACAUUGAGCCUUGAUGUGUAGGAUAGGUGGGAGGCUUUGAAGCGUGGACGCCAGUCUGCGUGGAGCCAACCUUGAAAUACCACCCUUUAAUGUUUGAUGUUCUAACGUUGGCCCCUUACCGGGGUUGCGGACAGUGUCUGGUGGGUAGUUUGACUGGGGCGGUCUCCUCCCAAAGCGUAACGGAGGAGCACGAAGGUUAGCUAAUCCUGGUCGGACAUCAGGAGGUUAGUGCAAUGGCAUAAGCUAGCUUGACUGCGAGCGUGACGGCGCGAGCAGGUGCGAAAGCAGGUCAUAGUGAUCCGGUGGUUCUGAAUGGAAGGGCCAUCGCUCAACGGAUAAAAGGUACUCCGGGGAUAACAGGCUGAUACCGCCCAAGAGUUCAUAUCGACGGCGGUGUUUGGCACCUCGAUGUCGGCUCAUCACAUCCUGGGGCUGAAGUAGGUCCCAAGGGUAUGGCUGUUCGCCAUUUAAAGUGGUACGCGAGCUGGGUUUAGAACGUCGUGAGACAGUUCGGUCCCUAUCUGCCGUGGGCGCUGGAGAAUUGAGGGGGGCUGCUCCUAGUACGAGAGGACCGGAGUGGACGCAUCACUGGUGUUCGGGUUGUCAUGCCAAUGGCACUGCCCGGUAGCUAAAUGCGGAAGAGAUAAGUGCUGAAAGCAUCUAAGCACGAAACUUGCCCCGAGAUGAGUUCUCCCUGAGACUUUAAGUCUCCUGAAGGAACGUUGAAGACGACGACGUUGAUAGGCCGGGUGUGUAAGCGCAGCGAUGCGUUGAGCUAACCGGUACUAAUGAACCGUGAGGCUUAACCUUACAACGCCGAAG
rnacentral:rRNA from 1 species